rnacentral:rRNA from 1 species
GGUUGAUCCUGCCGGAGGCCAUUGCUAUCGGAGUCCGAUUUAGCCAUGCUAGUCGCACGGGUUCAGACCCGUGGCAGAUAGCUCAGUAACACGUGGCCAAACUACCCUACAGACUGGAACAACCUCGGGAAACUGAGGCUAAUUCCGGAUACGGCUCUCAGCUUGGAGUGGCGAGAGUCAGAAACACUACGGUGCUGUAGGAUGUGGCUGCGGCCGAUUAGGUAAACGGUGGGGUAACGGCCCACCGUGCCAAUAAUCGGUACGGGUCGUGAGAGCGAGUGCCCGGAGACGGUAUCUGAGACAAGAUACCGGGCCCUACGGGGCGCAGCAGGCGCGAAACCUUUACACUGCACGACAGUGCGAUAGGGGGACUCCGAGUGCGAGGGCAUAGCGCCCUCGCUUUUGCGCACCGUAAGGUGGUGCGUGAAUAAGAACUGGGCAAGACCGGUGCCAGCCGCCGCGGUAAUACCGGCAGUUCGAGUGAUGGCCGAUCUUAUUGGGCCUAAAGCGUUCGUAGCUGGCCACGCAAGUCCGUCGGGAAAUCUACCCGCCUAACGGGUAGGCGUCCGGCGGAAACUGCGUGGCUUGGGACCGGGAGACCCGAGGAGUACGUCCAGGGUAGGAGUGAAAUCCCGUAAUCUUGGACGGACUACCGAUGGCGAAAGCACCUCGGGAGCACGGAUCCGACAGUGAGGAACGAAAGCUGGGGUCUCGAACCGGAUUAGAUACCCGGGUAGUCCCAGCUGUAAACGAUGUCCGCUAGGUAUGGCACAGGCUACGAGCCUGUGCUAUGCUGUAGUGAAGACGCAAGCGGACCGCCUGGGAAGUACGUCUGCAAGGAUGAAACUUAAAGGAAUUGGCGGGGGAGCACUACAACCGGAGGAGCCUGCGGUUUAAUUGGACUCAACGCCGGACAUCUCACCAGCACCGAC